AGAUUAUUUAGGUGUGAGCCACAGCACCCGGCCCAGACAUUGUUUGAAGCCACCCAUUUCAUGGUUCUUUGCUGCAGUGGUUGUGGAAUAUGAAUGCACUCGUGCUGUUGGUUAGACUUUGCUGACCUUGUGUCUGUUAUUCCCUGGCAGUUCUACAAGGCCUGGAGCAGAUACGAAAAACCUCCCUUCUUUGCCAAAUGGUCCCCAGCUUCCCCAUUCACUGAAGGCCCUGCGGUCAGGAACAGUCAGGACUUUGCACCCAGUUGUUGUGAGUGUUGGCCGACCCUUCCUCUUGUGUGAUUCAUGGACCCUUAGCAUUGCAUCACCUGGGAGCUUUUGGAAUUGAAGACUCUCAGCGCUCACCGGAAGGACCUCCUGGGCCAGAAUCUGCAUUUUAACAAGAUGCCCAGGGCUUCUCAACCAGGGGGUGAUUUUGCCCCCAAGAGAACAUGUGGCCAUGUCUGGAGACAAUUUUGGUUGUUGCAGCUGGAGGAGGUGGUGCUACUGGCAGCUAAUAGGUAGAGGCCACGGAUGCUGCUAAACAUCCUACAAUGCUCCGGACAACUCCCACUAAGACAAAAGAAUGAUCCAGCCCCAAAUGUCAAUAGUGCUGAAAGUGAGAGACCCUGAUUCCAUCUUAGAGAUCAUCCAAGCACACUUGGCCAAAUAGUUUUUGCUACUAUCCCAUGAAGAAAAGGCAGACUCAUGACUGAUGGCAACGUCGAUGGGAAUUUUGUUUACUUCUUCUUUGUGGACUUUGGGAUACGAUGACUUACCAUUUGUGCAAGUUGUGCAUUGCAUACCUCCAGGGGGCGCCACCCACAUAUUUAUGAAAAUGCCACCCCAGGAAUUGCACAGUACAUAGUCUACAUGGCAAUAAACAGUUGCUCUGGU